GAUUAGAGUUUGAUCAUGGCUCAGAUUGAACGCUGGCGGCAUGCCUAACACAUGCAAGUCGAACGAAGGCUUCGGCCUUAGUGGCGCACGGGUGCGUAACGCGUGGGAAUCUGCCCUCAGGUUCGGAAUAACAGCGAGAAAUUGCUGCUAAUACCGGAUGAUAUCGCGAGAUCAAAGAUUUAUCGCCUGAGGAUGAGCCCGCGUAGGAUUAGCUAGUUGGUGUGGUAAAGGCGCACCAAGGCGACGAUCCUUAGCUGGUCUGAGAGGAUGAUCAGCCACACUGGGACUGAGACACGGCCCAGACUCCUACGGGAGGCAGCAGUGGGGAAUAUUGGACAAUGGGCGAAAGCCUGAUCCAGCCAUGCCGCGUGUGUGAAGAAGGUCUUCGGAUUGAAAAGCACUUUAAGUUGGGAGGAAGGGCAGUUACCUAAUACGUGACUGUCUUGACGUUACCGACAGAAUAAGCACCGGCUAACUACGUGCCAGCAGCCGCGGUAAUAAU
rnacentral:rRNA from 1 species